AGAUGCGGUCUAUCAUGCAAGUCGAGCGGAUCUUCAUUAGCUUGCUUUUGAAGAUCAGCGGCGGACGGGUGAGUAACACGUGGGCAACCUGCCUGUAAGACUGGGAUAACUUCGGGAAACCGGAGCUAAUACCGGAUAAUCCUUUCCCUCACAUGAGGGAAAGCUGAAAGACGGUUUCGGCUGUCACUUACAGAUGGGCCCGCGGCGCAUUAGCUAGUUGGUGAGGUAACGGCUCACCAAGGCAACGAUGCGUAGCCGACCUGAGAGGGUGAUCGGCCACACUGGGACUGAGACACGGCCCAGACUCCUACGGGAGGCAGCAGUAGGGAAUCUUCCGCAAUGGACGAAAGUCUGACGGAGCAACGCCGCGUGAACGAUGAAGGCUUUCGGGUCGUAAAGUUCUGUUGUCAGGGAAGAACAAGUACCGGAGUAACUGCCGGUACCUUGACGGUACCUGACCAGAAAGCCACGGCUAACUACGUGCCAGCAGCCGCGGUAAUACGUAGGUGGCAAGCGUUGUCCGGAAUUAUUGGGCGUAAAGCGCGCGCAGGCGGUUCCUUAAGUCUGAUGUGAAAGCCCCCGGCUCAACCGGGGAGGGUCAUUGGAAACUGGGGAACUUGAGUGCAGAAGAGGAGAGCGGAAUUCCACGUGUAGCGGUGAAAUGCGUAGAGAUGUGGAGGAACACCAGUGGCGAAGGCGGCUCUCUGGUCUGUAACUGACGCUGAGGCGCGAAAGCGUGGGGAGCGAACAGGAUUAGAUACCCUGGUAGUCCACGCCGUACACGAUGAGUGCUAAGUGUUAGAGGGUUUCCGCCCUUUAGUGCUGCAGCAAACGCAUUAAGCACUCCGCCUGGGGAGUACGGCCGCAAGGCUGAAACUCAAAGGAAUUGACGGGGGCCCGCACAAGCGGUGGAGCAUGUGGUUUAAUUCGAAGCAACGCGAAGAACCUUACCAGGUCUUGACAUCCUCUGACAACCCUAGAGAUAGGGCGUUCCCCUUCG
rnacentral:rRNA from 2 species